rnacentral:lncRNA from 1 species
AAUUUUUACCUUUGUUGGCGGUCGGAGGUGGGUCCGGCGGUGCGGCAGUCGAGUCCCUUCUCCGGCGCUAGUUCUUCUUCUCCAGUGGAGGGCUAGCGGCUAAGGUUUGAGUGUGAUGCGAUAUAUUUAUACCCAUCUCGCUUAAAUCUGGGCCGUUUAUCGCAUUUGAUCUCGACUGUCCGAUUAAAUUUAAAGAGAAAAUGAAUAUGGACCGUUCAUCGUGUUUAAUCGCGACCAUUCAAUCGUGCUUGAGGAGAGAACGGAUCUGGACCAUUCACGCACGUGGGAACGCAUCCGGGCCGUUUGAUUGUGGG